UUUGUGUGUAAUUGUGUAUCAGAAGAUCUUAUGUUUUUUUAAUAACUUAGGUUGGUCGGUUUGGUUGGUUGUCAUGCAGGAUUAUGUUGAACUCUUUUGUGUGCUAAUGCUUCAACAAUACUUCUUGCUCACUCUCAGUUGAAAGAGGUAAGGAGCCAUUUUUCCAAAGGAAAUUGUCAGGUCUAUUUCAUUUCAGAAUAAAGUUACUCGCAUGGAUAAUCCGUGCCAUACCUAAUUAUGCCUUAUCUAGCCUUAGUUUAUGUAUGAAUAGCAUGAACACCUCUAUAUUAAUAGUUUCGAAAGGAGAAAAAUAGAUAAGUGCACACUGUUUCAAUUAAGAUAAAAGCAAUUUGAAGUGCUUAUCGUAUUUGAACCAAAAUGUGAAAUUGGCUAAUAAGAAAUGGAAGCUAGACCAUUGGAAUUCUCUAGGGAUUAUAGAUGCUAGACCAUUCCAGUUUUCCCAAGGAAAAGAAUCUGCAUAAUAAUAUGUAAUACAUACAUGUGUAUAUUGUUUAUUAAUAAUGAAAAUGAAAACAAAUGGGCCCACUAAGUUGUUUGGUUGCAUUCUAUAUGAAGUUGAAUUUUUAUCAGUUGCAUUCUACCUAUACUGAUUAGCCAAUAUUACAAAAUUCCAAUGCUCAUCAAAGACAAACAAUUCUGAACCCUCUAUUUGGUAGGGAUUACUUUAACACUCAGAAUAUAUACAAAAAAGCACAUGUUGCAUGGGAACUCUAAUUAGCAUGCUGCCUAUAGUCCUAUUUAAUUCCCCGCUUCCUUCUCCCUUGGACUUUUUGAACAAAUGGUUCUCACCAUUCGAUGUUGUUUGGUCUUGAUGUUGAUAGAUAUUCUGACAGUAUUCACAAUUUUUGUGCUAGAUGUGCCAAAUCUAAAUAUGGCUUAGUGAUUCAGUUUUCGAGCUAUUACCUUACAACUAAGCUUAGUUGAGACGACAUGUUAAAAAAGACAGCGUGUGCUAACACUUAUUUAUUUUAGUUGAAUAGUAUUUUCACUGUUUUGAAUUGUAUAUCAGAUUAUUAAUAUCAUUUCCUAGGGUCUGGCCAAAUGUAUUUGGGUAAAUACGAAAGGACGUGAGAAAGUGUUUUUUGUCAUGGGAUUCGAAGGCAUAACAAACAAUAGGAUAAACUAUACUGAGUCUGAUAAUGAAGAAAGUGGAAAACUUCAAUGGUUCUAUGGAUGAUAUACGAUGAUUGCAAAUGGAGACAAUGCAAGCUUGAACAUGGUGAAACUUGCAAAUGCAACCCAGCUGCAGCUCCGUCUUGCACAAAGGAAGUAGUUUUACAUAGUCCGUUCUUAGAGAUAACCCAAAAAUGUGCAGAAAGUGAUUACAUAGUAGUCAUCAUACCGUUUGUUGGUUAAAAAACAAAUAAUAUAGUCAAGUGGUAAGCUUUGCAUGGUUCUUGUUGUUUACUUGCUCUAUUCAAUAAUUGCUUUUGUUUCAAUGAAAAUCGUAACUAGACUACCGUGAUGGCAAUGGCCUAUUAUUCUAUAGAACGGUAGUUUUCUUAACUUUUAAUGUUUUCAAUCACAUCC
rnacentral:lncRNA from 1 species